CUUGUACAGCCUUUAGCUGGGGCAGGGGCAGGGCAGGAGCAGUCUGCAGCAGAGCAUUUACAAGGCAGACACAGCCCUCCUCACUCUGGAACAUGCACCACCCAGGUCUUCCCUCAGCUCUCCACUAAUUCCUCGCCGCAGCCGUGCCUUCUGCCUUCUUCCCUCCCUUCACACAACAUUUCCCCCACCCCCCCCACUAUUUGUCUAAAUGGGAUUUUAGCAGCACUGAAGCAGAAGUUUAUUUUGGUUCAUCUCGUUGUAUUGUGGAGUGAGAGAGAGAAAGAGAAGUCCUGAGAACUCAACAGGGAACACCAUGGCCAUUAAUACCGACACCCAAUAUGAGAAGGUACUGGGAGGUUCAGGGAACCCUCUGCCCACAGACUCCCAUGAGACUGAGAAACUCCUCACCAAUGCCUCAGAGAAUAAGGAGGAGAAUGGCAUGAAGAAGUCCUUUUCUGUCACCAUGUCCAGCGAGAAGUCUAUGGGAGACCUGGAACAAAAUGGCCACAACCUGCCUUACAAAUCGGUAUCAGCUGGGCAACUGGAGUCUGCCCCUCUCUCGCCCUCCAGGGUCAGCCUUGCCAGGGCGUCCUCCACUGCCACCACCACCCAAGAGCAGGGCAGGCCCACCGACUAUCUCAUCCUGGCCAUCUUCUCCUGCUUCUGUCCAGUCUGGCCAGUCAACAUCGUAGCACUGGUCUUCUCCAUCAUGUCAAGAAACAGCAUGCAGCAGGGCGAUUUAGAUGGAGCCCGGAGAUUAGGACGUUUAGCCAGGCUACUGAGUGUCGUCUCCAUCUUGCUUGGACUUGUCAUUAUCGUGCUGUGUAUUCUCAGCCUUACAGUUUUUCAGUAGGUUUUCCAGUUGAAAGGAAGCCAAAUGGGAGAUGCGGACAUGGCCUGCCUUCCCUUCACACACUUUUUAUCCUCCUCACUGCAAACGAGUCUAAUGUUAGAGGGAGAACCAGGUCCAGUCCCACCCAAGGUCCAAGGGAUUGCAUGCAGCACUUUAAACGCCACGCCCUUGGGAAUGGAAAGAGUAGCAGGAGAACAUCGUACAAGAGAAUGGACUUGAAACAAGACAAAUGCAAGAUGCCAAGAGGCUGCGUUUAACAGGGAACCCUCAAGAUGGACAAUGAUUGGUUGGGCAUCCUGGGACUUGCAUUCAGGUGAUGGCACAACCCCUGUUUUUAUUUCCAGCUUUUGUAUCAAAGGAAUGAAAGCUAUUGUAUGUAUUAUAUGAUAUAGCUGAAAACUGCCAAAUAUAGGGUAAUUAGAAAAGACCCUCACAUGCAGGACAACGCUGUGUGGCCUCCCCUGUUUUGGAUGAUGAUGCUUCUUCGCUGACAAAAUGGAACAGGACUUUUAAUCACUUUUGUUUUUUAAAACUAUUUUUGAUGAGUAAUUCAAGAGAAUUGCACCAGUUGCAUGGUUGUAUUCCCUGCUGCAAUGAUCACCUCUUCGCCUUUGCUUGCGUUUGGCUGGAUGUGAAAAUCCCCCAGAAUAUAUACAGGAUUGUUGGGUUUGGUGAGAUUUGAUUGAGUUAUACAGAGGGAUCACCCUGUGCAUAGGGAAUGCUUCGCUCAUGAAGCCCCUAAAUUUGGGGAUGAUCUUGUGGGCUCCUUGUGGACUUUAUUACUGCCUUGGCUUCUAUAUAUCAUCAGGUCCAUUAGCUUGAGAUGUGGAUGCCAGAAAUACAAGAGAAACAAUUCAUGGGAAAAUAAUGUACAGGCCAUUUAAACUGUUUACAACAAAACAAAUUCUAAUAAUAUGCAGCACUAUGGUAAAUGGCAGCAGUCAAUAAUAAAUAUAUCGAAACUUUUAGCUUAUGCCAAGAAUUCUGCUGGAGUAGCACUAUUAACUGAUGAGUUUUGAAAAAAACGUGUUUUUCCAUGACAGUAUUCCUUUAAGGAAGAGAUUUAUUUACAGAAGCCACUCCAAAGACUCGUUUUUUAUUACAAAAUAUCCCACAAAGAUUUGUUUAAAUAGCACAAACCAAGGGGGAAACUGGUGCAUCAUUCCAAUCUGACAGUUUCAGAAGGCAGGUUCUAGGGGCGGCACAGAAUUGCAUAUUAUCAGCGUCAGAUGAAAACUGCCGCAUUAGCGAAGCAUCGCCGGGUUGUAUCGAUUGUCUGUUUACUUGCAAUGAGAUAUGUAAAAACAAUGUACAGUGAAAAGAUAAGCCUAUGGGCAAACGGCUGCUUCAUUCUGUCGGUAAACUGAUUAUGUUUGAAAAAUAUCUGAACUCAACUUAUUACAAAAAACUACCAAAGGGAAACUUUCUAUCUUCAAACAAUAUCAUUUAUUUUGUACUACAAGGAACCACAAUACGGUAACGCCUAUAAUCAAUCCAAGGGCAAUAUAAGCCUAUAUGUUACUACGUACUAAUACGUGAGCCUAAACAUUUGUUUUUUGUACCAAAAAUAUAAGAGAUGAAACUUUCCUACUUUCUGUGAUCACUGACAGAGGAGGUUUAAACUGAACACACAGAAGAAGUGUAUUUAUGCCAAAGUGAGGUGCAAUGCAGACAGGGCAAAUUGCCACGCAUGGCUGUGAUCCAACCCUUGCUCAGGAGCGGCAUGUCCAUUCAACAUUAGCAUCACACCCGACAUUUUCCCAAUAGCAUAAGCUGCUAAACUUUCCUUUUGGGCGUCUCAGUCUGUAGCGCCUGCGAGACUCUCGUAUAAUUCAGCGCACAAUGGUAGCAUGCUCCGACCCCACACUCACUCCUGCCAAAACACAAGGGCAUGAUAUAAGGAAUGUAUAAAUGUGAGGGAUUGAACGCAUUCCAUUUUGUAUUUUUGGCAUGAAAGAAAUAAAGUUUACAAUGCAUGGGC